CGGGCUUACCAAGGCGAUGAUGCAUAGCCCGAGUUGAGAGACUGAUCGGCACAUUGGGGACUGAGACACGGGCCCAAACUCUACGGGAGGCAGCAGUAGGGAAUCUUCCACAAUGGACGAAAGUCUGAUGGAGCAAACGCCGCGUGAGUGAAGAAGGUUUUCGGAUCGUAAAGCUCUGUUGUUGGUGAAGAAGGAUAGAGGUAGUAACUGGCCCUUUAUUUGACGGUAAUCAACCAGAAAGUCACGGGCUAACUACGUGCCAGCAGCCGCGGUAAAU
rnacentral:rRNA from 1 species